CCGGGCCGUUGCCCCCCACCCCCGUGCCGAGGCCCGGGUCCCCCUUGGAACUCGCGUCUGAGCCGCCGUCCCGGACCCCCGGCGCCCGCCGGUGCCGCAGACCCUGCGCCGGGCUCGGACUCGCAGCCCGGACCGACGUGUAGGACAAUCGUUUCUGUUGGAAGAAGGGCUUUUCCCUUCGCUCUGGGGUUUUCGUUGCCUUUUUUUUUUUUUUUUUUUUCUUUUUACUUUUAAAAAUUUUGGAGAAGGGAAGUCGGGACACCCGGAAGGACCGCUCCCCCGCGGACUCAGGGUUGGCGGCGGGACUCCAGGACCCUGGGUCCAGCAUGGAGGUGGCGGACCCGCCGCAGCUGGGCAUGUUCACGGAGGGUGAGCUGAUGUCGGUGGGCAUGGACACGUUCAUCCACCGCAUCGACUCCACCGAGGUCAUCUACCAGCCGCGCCGCAAGCGGGCCAAGCUCAUCGGCAAGUACCUGAUGGGGGACCUGCUCGGGGAAGGCUCCUACGGCAAGGUGAAGGAGGUGCUGGACUCGGAGACGCUGUGUCGCAGGGCCGUCAAGAUCCUCAAGAAGAAGAAGUUGCGGAGGAUCCCCAACGGGGAGGCCAACGUCAAGAAGGAAAUUCAGUUGCUGAGGAGGUUACGGCACAAAAACGUCAUCCAGCUGGUGGAUGUGUUAUACAACGAAGAGAAGCAGAAAAUGUAUAUGGUGAUGGAGUAUUGUGUUUGCGGCAUGCAGGAGAUGCUGGACAGCGUGCCCGAGAGGCGCUUCCCGCUGUGCCAGGCCCACGGGUACUUCUGCCAGCUGAUCGACGGCCUGGAGUACCUGCACAGCCAGGGCAUCGUGCACAAAGACAUCAAGCCGGGGAACCUACUGCUGACCACCGGCGGCACCCUCAAGAUCUCCGACCUGGGCGUAGCUGAGGCACUGCACCCGUUUGCGGCAGAUGACACCUGCCGGACAAGCCAGGGCUCCCCAGCGUUCCAGCCCCCCGAGAUUGCCAACGGCCUGGACACCUUCUCAGGCUUCAAGGUGGACAUCUGGUCAGCUGGGGUCACCCUCUACAACAUCACCACGGGCCUGUACCCCUUCGAGGGGGACAACAUCUAUAAGCUGUUCGAGAACAUUGGGAAGGGGAGCUACGCGAUCCCAGGCGACUGUGGCCCCCCGCUCUCCGACCUGCUGAAAGGGAUGCUUGAGUAUGAGCCGGCCAAGAGGUUCUCCAUACGGCAGAUCCGGCAGCACAGCUGGUUCCGGAAGAAACACCCACCAGCUGAAGCACCGGUGCCCAUCCCGCCAAGCCCGGACACCAAGGACCGGUGGCGCAGCAUGACUGUGGUGCCCUACCUGGAAGACCUGCACGGUGCCGACGAGGACGAGGACCUCUUCGAUAUCGAGGACGACAUCAUCUACACUCAGGACCUCACGGUGCCCGGUGGCGAGGAGGCGCCUGAGGCAGGGCUUAGAGCGGAGUGCGGCUUGCAGAAGAGCGAGGGCUCAGACCUUUCAGGAGAGGAUACCUCGAGGCCGGCGCUGCAGUCGUGCCCGAGGAGGAGCUCAGGGCCUUAGCACGGGCGGCUGCACUGGCAGCCGGCCCCUCCCUGCCAGGCUCCCGGCUCAGCUCUGUGCUGUGCAGGGCUGGGCUGGAUCAUAAAGCGCUUUGCAUGUAUCUGCAGGUGGAUGUUGCUGUGCCUGGGCUGGAGUGUGGGGGGCUUUAUCUUUUACUAUUGCAGCAGGAAGUGGUGGGCAGGGUCCGGCCUGAGAAGGCGAGUGUGCCAGGAAGGUUAGGAUGUGAGGACCCAGUGCACAGGAGCUCACUCACCUCCUUCAGUGAGCCCCGGUGUCUGCCUUCCCACGUAGAGAUCCUUACCCUGCAGAGAGCCCAUUAGGUCCUACAGCAUCCCGGGGCCCCUCAGCAAACCCCUAGGCUCAGCUCAGGAGCUACUCCUGGGAGGGCGAAGUGUGCAGGGGGGCCUGGGAGGGCACAGCGUGUAGGGGCCCCGGCGGCACAGGAUUUUGCCUCCUGGGCUCUUGUAGCUCCAGUACCAUGGUUGCUGUGUCUGUUGGGAUGGGAGGUGCUGCUGGGCACCCUGGUCACCUGAUGUCCUGGGAGGUGGGGUCCCCUCAUGAUGCCCAUCCAUGGGCCUGGGUGCAAUUUGACCUUUCAGAGCACUGGGGCCCUGAGACUGGCAGUCAGGUGAUGCCGGGCAGGACCCGGCUGCCAGAACCCCACUGGGACGUGGGCCACAUGCUGACCCUGUGGCCGCUCCUGCAGGCCAGGACCCAGCACUAGCUCCCCCCCACCUCCCCGGGGAGACUUAGGCCUGUGGGAGAUCUGGGCUGCCCUGGGGCAAGGUGCCAGGGAGGAAGGCAGGGGCUGGGCCACCUUUUUUGUGACCCUGCUGAGCCCACCAUGGGUGGUAGGAAGGAGUACCCAGCAGCAGGGGCUGCAGGGACCGCUCAGCAUAGCUGAGGCCUCAGUACUCAGUACUGGGUACUCAGGUGGAUACCCCUCCCACUGCUGAGAUGCUUGGGACAGGCUCAGCCUGAGACUUCAGCGGGAGCCACAUUUCCAACCUGCAGGGCUCCUCGCAUUGGGGCAGGCCAUCCUGCGCACUGAGCCUGGGCUGCUGCCUCGUCAGUCCUUACUAUGGACGUCCUGCUGCCAACAACCGGAGCCCAAGCGAGGGGCCUUUGGGCUAGGUCUUGGGCCCCAGUGCAGACGGGUAUAGGGUGGAAUGAGGGACUGAUGGCCCCAGUGCCUGGUGGCGGCUGUGCCCACUGAUGCAGGGCUGGGGCGCCUUGUCUACCACGGCAUGCCCAUGCGAGUGGGCGAAAGCCCAGACUUGGAGGUGCAGCUGGGCCUCCUCACCAAGGUGCCUUUUGAAAGCCAUCAACUUCCUGUGCACACAGGGCGAGCGUGCGGCAAGUUCUGCAAGCCGCUGGCCCCUUCUGGGAGCUGGGCUCUGCGCUGGGCUCAUGCCUUCCACAGACUGCCCAGGAGGGUCUGGGGCUGGCUUGGCAGCCAGUGUGUUGCUGGAGUCCUUGCCGACCACCAUGGCUCCUGGCGGGCAUGGCACAUGGGCUGCUCCUGCACUUGCCCCACUCCCGUUGUGAGGACAGUGUCCACCUGGCCAGGGUGGCCAGCACCAGGCCCAUGGGUUCCACCAGAGUGCUGGUGAUGGCUGGGGCCCCGGCAGGCUGAGCUCUGCUCCUCGAGUGGCUGUGCUGGCGUCUCGAAUGCCGGCCCGAGCCUGGCCCUCUUGUGUCUCACAGGUGAGCUUGUGGCAGCUCCUGUGCCUCUAGAGCCAUGUUCAUGGGCCACGGGGGCAUAGGAGGGUCCUGCUCCCUCAGCUUGCCUCCUUCUCACGAGGUCCCUGCAGAUAGUACCUGGGUGGGGUCUGACCCGAGGCCAUGGCAGGUGCAGCAGGGGGGGUGGGGGGGGCCACUCCUGCCUGGGUCAUCUGUGAGAGGUUUCGUCCCAGGUGUGGGGGGCCCCCCAGAGCUGCUGGGGCAGCAUGGGCCAGGACAUGCUGGGGACACCUGGGCCUGACCAGGGUUGGGCAUGGCCUGUGCUGGGACCAGCCAGGCUCCUGGCUUAGGCCACACUUGCCAUCUCCCUCACAGGACAGGUCCCAGAAGAGGAGGCCAGUCAGAACGGACAGAGCCGGGGCCUGCCCAAAGCCGUGUGCAUGAACGGCACGGAGACGGCGCAGCUGAGCACCAAAUCCAAGGCGGAGGGCAGGGCCCCCAACCCUGCCCGCAAGGCCUGCUCGGCCAGCAGCAGGAUCCGCCGGCUGUCAGCCUGCAAGCAGCAGUGAGGGUGGCCGCCUGCAGUCCAUGUCCAGGGGCCCGCGCCGGGCCCUUCUCCGUCUUCCUGCCGGUCCCGCCCUCCCGGAGAGGCGGCCCUGGUGCCUCUGCUGACCGCGCCCCAGGACUUCAGGAGCCCCCGCAGGGACCGGGCGCAGCGGUGUCAGCCGGCAGGGCCCGCAGCUGGUUGACUCGGUGGCCCCGGGCGGGCGGGAGAGGGAGAGGGAGGCGGGAGGCGGCCCCGAUGCACUUUAAGCGGAGACUGCGGGCUCCAGCCCGCCCGCCAUGCAUGCAGCGCCGCCCGGGAGCCGCGGAGGGAGGCCUCGGCUUUGUUGUUUGGUUGGUUCCAUUUUUCUUUUUUUUUUUUUUAAGAAAAAAUAAAAGGUGGAUUUGA